rnacentral:tRNA from 1 species
GUUUCCAUAGUGUAGUGGUUAUCACGCUCGCUUCACACGCGAGAGGUCCUGGGUUUGAGCCCCAGUGUAAACA